CGUGCUAAUCUGCGAUAAGCGCCGGUAAGGUGAUAUGAACCGUUAUAACCGGCGAUACCCGAAUGGGGAAACCCAGUGUGACUCGUCACACUAUCAUUAACUGAAUCCAUAGGUUAAUGAGGCGAACCGGGGGAACUGAAACAUCUAAGUACCCCGAGGAAAAGAAAUCAACCGAGAUUCCCCCAGUAGCGGCGAGCGAACGGGGAGGAGCCCAGAGCCUGAAUCAGCAUGUGUGUUAGUGGAAGCGUCUGGAAAGGCGCGCGAUACAGGGUGACAGCCCCGUACACAAAAGCGCAUGUGCUGUGAGCUCGAUGAGUAGGGCGGGACACGUGGUAUCCUGUCUGAAUAUGGGGGGACCAUCCUCCAAGGCUAAAUACUCCUGACUGACCGAUAGUGAACCAGUACCGUGAGGGAAAGGCGAAAAGAACCCCGGCGAGGGGAGUGAAAAAGAACCUGAAACCGUGUACGUACAAGCAGUGGGAGCACAGGUUUACCUGUGUGACUGCGUACCUUUUGUAUAAUGGGUCAGCGACUUAU
rnacentral:rRNA from 1 species